rnacentral:rRNA from 1 species
GACGGAAGGUGCAAGCGUUGCUCGGAAUCACUGGGCGUAAAGGGCGCGUAGGCGGCCCUCUAAGUCGAACGUGAAAUCCCCGGGCUCAACCCGGGAACUGCGUCCGAUACUGGAGGGCUCGAAUCCGGGAGAGGGAUGUGGAAUUCCAGGUGUAGCGGUGAAAUGCGUAGAUAUCUGGAGGAACACCGGUGGCGAAGGCGGCGUUCUGGACUGCAACUGACACUGAGAGACGAAAGCCAGGGGAGCAAACGGG